rnacentral:sRNA from 1 species
AUUGGGCCUGGGGUUUCAAUAGGGCAGACAUCAUCACGGGCUCGGGCAGCAGUCCUGGGAAGACGCAUCCAGAGGCGAGAAGUUCCUCUGGGAAAAGAGAGGGCUCCAGGGUGGCCGCUGCCAGAAGGCCCUGUGCUGCAGAGCUGCUUCGGGUGUGGGAGGGGCUGCAGAGCUGGGGCACGGGGGCGCUGGCAGGAACUCAGGGCUCUCUGGGUCCCCUCCAGGCUUCCCCCUAGCCUGCCGGUGAGUUGACGCUACCAGUUCUCGGGAGGGGCUUCUGCUGAGAUGAGGUUUCUUCCAGGGGUGAAGGGUGGAGCCAGGUAGAUGCAGCGGUAGCAUCUGAGCUCCUGUCCCAGCUCCAGGAAGGGGAGUUCUGGGUGGAGGAGGAAGAGUUCGUCAGGGAGUUUGACGAGCUCACCGUUGGCUACCCGGUCACGGAGGCCGGCCGCCUGCAGAGCCUCUACACAGAGAGGCUGCUCUGCCAUACGCGGGCGCUGCCUGGGGCCUGGGUCAAGGGCCAGUCAGCAGGAGGCUGCCGGAACAACAGC